AUGAUGGGUUUGGAUGUUUUGUCAUUGGGUGUGCUUGGUUUGAGUAGAUCUGAGGAUUUCUUGGUGGUACCAGAACUGGACUUGGUUGAAUUUGAGGCCUUUGAGGUGGAAUUGAGCUUCUUGAGCUGUUUCGUGGCAGAGAUAGUGGGUGUCGUUUUCGUGGAGUUUGAGGAUUUUGCCGUGGAAUUGAGCUUCUUUAUCUGGGCUUUGUUGAGGAUAGUGGGUGUCGUUUUGGUCGAGUAAGUGGAGGGUUUGACGAGUUUGGUUUGGUUCUUGCUGGAAG
rnacentral:lncRNA from 1 species